CCUACGGGUGGCUGCAGUCGAGGAUCUUCGUCAAUGGGCGCAAGCCUGAACGAGCGACGCCGCGUGCGGGAUGAAGGCCCUUGGGUUGUAAACCGCUGUCAGGGGGGAGCAAGGCGCAAGCUUGAGCGAGCCCCAGAGGAAGCACGGGCUAAGUUCGUGCCAGCAGCCGCGGUAAUACGAACUGUGCGAACGUUAUUCGGAAUCACUGGGCUUACAGGGUGCGUAGGCGGCCGACCAGGUCAGGUGUGAAAUCCCCCGGCCCAACCGGGGAAUGGCGCUUGAAACCGGACGGCUUGAGUGACCUAGAGGUGCAUGGAACUUCCGGUGGAGCGGUGAAAUGUGUUGAUAUCGGAAGGAACACCAGAGGCGAAAGCGAUGCACUGGGGGUUAACUGACGCUGAGGCACGAAAGCCAGGGGAGCAAACGGGAUUAGAUACCCU
rnacentral:rRNA from 1 species